UCCGCUUCUUAUUUGGGAAAAAUAUUAACUUAUAUUACCUGCAUCCCCUGCGCUUGCUUGCAAUGCCACAUAAGACUCAACAAGACGCUUUUUGUUUCUUUUAGCGAUUGGUUUCACCUUGCAAAAACGAAAAACGAUUUAAAAAAAAAAAAAAAAACGUGCGUACGUCCUUAAUAAUUAAUUAUUUUACAAUUUACCAUAAUUAUAUAAAAAAAAAAUGAUUUUAGUUUUUUACACCAUUUGGCUUUCAUAAUGUCAAAUUCAGAGAUAUCAAAUACAUAUUUAUUUGACUUCAAGUUUGGUUAAUUCAAUCUUCGUUUUCGUAUUAUAUGAAUAAGUUUUUUUUAAAGCACAAGAUGUCACAUAUGUGUUGAAAAUAUAAGUAAACCCGUUUUAAAUUUAAAUUCAUGCCUAAUGCAUACACGCAGAAAUUUUUUGUCCGACUGAAAACGUCUGGACGAAUUUUAUCCGAUGUCUCUACUAGUCUGUACGAUUUGGUCAGAUAAAAUUGUAGUUUUAGAACUUCUAAAAACAAAACGUAUGCCCUGUCCGUUUCAGUCGGACAGAUUUUUCCAAACGCUGUAAGAUCUGAUACAGUGUACGGCUUUGCGCUGCUACUGCAGCCAAUUUCAAAACUGCUAGAAUGUCCGAGUUGGAAACGGACAGGCUAUCCAAGAAACCUGUAACCGCGCUUCUCGAGAACAAAGGAUAGCCUCUCGGGGGGAGGUUUCGGCGACAGGCAAGCACUCAGGGUCUGGGAAUUUUCGACAUUUUCCGAUAUCCCAGGCAUUUCUCAGGUUUGAAAACACCAACGGUCACUUUAGCGUCAGUUGAGAGAGCUCUCUUCACAAGGAAAGAUCUGUGUUGCGGAGAGAAAAAUUGAAAACUCAAGGAAAAACUUCUAUAAUUGAAAAUUUCCACAUUCUGGCCUCAACUGCAACGCUCGCAAAAUGAAAAUACGUCUCCUAGCUGGCGCAAGUUAUUAUAGAAGAACUAGAAAUGAACAUCAACUGCCAGAAAGAGCUGCAGUGAGCUGCUCGGCUUCACCGUGGAUAUUUACUACCAGAAAAAACCACUAGAGUUUGACAUGAAAUCUGAGAAAAUCAAGCAAUCAAAAUCAUCUCUAUAGCUUGGGCACAUCUCUGGAAAAGCGCGAGUGCAAGAAGAUGAACUUUGCCUCAGAACGUUAAGUAGGACCCGGCAAUCCGGUUUCAUUUUAUCAGUAAAAAGAAAAUAACAUGUACAUUCUUUUAAUCAAUGUGUGAAGCAAAAUUUUCUGUGGUUGUCGUUUUCAAAUGCUUGAUUUUUCAAUAGCUCUAAAGCAAUUUUUUAUUGAUAAUUGUCUCAAAAGUGCUGUGCUAUUUUCUCUUUCAAAUAUGCAUAUCAAAACUUAAUUUCAACAACUUUUGCAGUUUGUUACUUGUAUUUUGCUAUUUCCUUGUGUUAUUUUGUACUUUGUGAAUUUCUGUGUAAAUAAAUAUUUCUAUACUGAAAUUAUCCAUGCAUUAUUUACUUGUACCUAUAUACAAUUAAGAAAACGCAAAGAGCAAGAAAUAAUAAACGAAAAGAACAGAAUAGUGAAGUCGGACAAUUUGUCUGAGUUGGGUCGUAAGCGCGUUGCGUUCUCCUCUCAUUUAAUCCAGGCAACCCAACUCGGACAAAAUAGGAGAGUUGAAAGCGUACAGAGCUUCUGAGCGCGGUCUCCUAUCUCAUAUGUUUUUCGGCGUAAACAUUUUCCGAUUCUCAAUACAGACAGAGUUUCCGCUUUUUUUCAUAAGUCAUUUUUUAGCAGUUUGAAACAGACAGACUAGUAGUUAGGUCGGACAAAAAAUUUCUGCGUGUAUAUGAUUAUAUUUUUAAAUAUUUUUUCUUCAGGAAGAUAACUGCAGCUAUAAUUUAGAUCUAGAACAAGUUCAAUAUUUGGAAUCAAUACGUAAUCUUAUUAAAAAUAACUCAAUGACGUUCUGAGAUGCAAUAAAACUUUCAUUAAAUUUUUUUUACUGCACUACAGUUUCCGUGACACAGCAGCUAGGGUUUUUGCCAACUUGAGUCAUCCCAUUUCGCUGUGACAGGUCAAACACUGGGGAUUUGAUUCUAUUCUUGCAUAAUUUUAAUUCUCUAUAAGAUAGAUAAAAUGUCACUUAUCAUUGUCUUCUGGUAAUUUAUAUAAAAAUAUAAAAUUGGCAAAACUAUAAGCUU